GCAGAUCUGGGCGGCCACGGCGACGGGAUCUGUGGCUGCGGCGACGACGCCAGGGCGGCGGCGGCGGCGGAGGCGGAGGCGCGCUGAGAGAAAGAGAGAUGGGGAGAGGCUGCAAUUUUUUUUUGGGGGUGGGGGGAAGAGGUUGCGAUUUUUGGUGUUUUUUUUAGAGGGGAUUUGUUUGGUAUUUUCUUUUUGUUUUAAGGGUAUCUUAGUCCUUUCAACCUCAAAAUGGGUACAUUUUAUAUGUUUAAUUUUGGGUGGGUAUAUUUUAUGUUUCCUUUUUCAAAUAGGGUAAAAAACACCAUUAACCC
rnacentral:lncRNA from 1 species